rnacentral:rRNA from 1 species
UACGAAGGGGGCUAGCGUUGCUCGGAAUCACUGGGCGUAAAGCGCACGUAGGCGGCUUUUUAAGUCAGAGGUGAAAUCCUGGAGCUCAACUCCAGAACUGCCUUUGAUACUGGAGAGCUUGAGUCCGGGAGAGGUGAGUGGAACUGCGAGUGUAGAGGUGAAAUGCGUAGAUAUCGGAAGGAACACCAGUGGCGAAAGCGGCUCACUGGACCAUAACUGACGCUGAUGCACGAAAGCUAGGGGAGCAAACAGG